rnacentral:rRNA from 1 species
ACGGAGGAUGCAAGCGUUAUCCGGAAUGAUUGGGCGUAAAGCGUCCGCAUGUGGCAGUUCAAGUCUGCUGUCAAAGACCGGGGCUUAACUUCGGAAAGGCAGUGGAAACUGAACAGCUAGAGUAUGGUAGGGGCAGAGGGAAUUCCUGGUGUAGCGGUGAAAUGCGUAGAGAUCAGGAAGAACAUCGGUGGCGAAGGCGCUCUGCUGGACCAUAACUGACACUCAGGGACGAAAGCUAGGGGAGCGAAUGGG